rnacentral:rRNA from 1 species
GUUUGAUCCUGGCUCAGGAUGAACGCUGGCGGCAUGCCUAAUACAUGCAAGUCGAACGGAGUGAAGCCUUCGGGUUUCAUUCAGUGGCGAACGGGUGAGUAAUACGCAGGGAACCUGGCCAUGGCAGGGGGAUACACUCUGGAAACGGAGCAUAAGACCCCAUAGGCAGUAAGGCGGCAUCGCCUUACUGUUAAAGAAAGCUGAAAGGCUUUGGCGAUGGAUGGACCUGCGGUGCAUUAGCUUGUUGGUGAGGCAACGGCUUACCAAGGCGAUGAUGCAUAGCCGGCCUGAGAGGGCGGACGGCCACACUGGGACUGAGACACGGCCCAGACUCCUGCGGGAGGCAGCAGUAGGGAAUUUUCGUCAAUGGGCGCAAGCCUGAACGAGCAAUGCCGCGUGAGUGAGGAAGGUCUUCGGACUGUAAAGCUCUGUUGCCGGGGAAAAAGGGGAAAUGCAGGAAAUGGCAUUUCAUGGAUGGUACCCGGCCAGAAAGCCACGGCUAACUACGUGCCAGCAGCCGCGGUAAUACGUAGGUGGCGAGCGUUAUCCGGAAUGAUUGGGCGUAAAGGGUGCGCAGGCGGUCUGUUAAGUCUGAAGGCAAAGGGAUGAGCUCAACUCAUUUAUGAUUCAGAAACUGGCAGACUUGAGGACAGGAGAGGGCGGUGGAACUCCAUGUGUAGCGGUAAAAUGCGCAGAGAUAUGGAAGAACACCAGUGGCGAAGGCGGCCGCCUGGCCUGUGACUGACGCUGAGGCACGAAAGCGUGGGGAGCAAAUAGGAUUAGAUACCCUAGUAGUCCACGCCGUAAACGAUGAGGAGCAGGUGUUGGGAGUGAAAUCUCAGUGCCGAAGCCAACGCAGUGACUCCUCCGCCUGGGGAGUAUGCACGCAAGUGUGAAACUCAAAGGAAUUGACGGGGGCCCGCACAAGCGGUGGAGUAUGUGGUUUAAUUCGAAGCAACGCGAAGAACCUUACCAGGUUUUGACAUCGGAUGCGAAGGCGCAGAGAUGCGCUGGAGGCUAUCAUCCAGACAGGUGGUGCAUGGUUGUCGUCAGCUCGUGUCGUGAGAUGUUCAGUUAAGUCUGGCAACGAGCGCAACCCCCGUGGUAUGUUACUAACGCAUUUGGGCGAGGACUCAUAUCAGACUGCCGGUGACAAACCGGAGGAAGGCGGGGAUGACGUCAAAUCAUCAUGCCCCUUAUGACCUGGGCUACACACGUACUACAAUGGCGUCUACAGAGGGAAGCGACCCUGAGAAGGGAAGCGAAACCGGAAAAGGGCGUCCCAGUUCGGAUUGAAGUCUGCAACCCGACUUCAUGAAGAUGGAAUCGCUAGUAAUCGCGGAUCAGCAUGCCGCGGUGAAUACGUUCCCGGGCCUUGUACACACCGCCCGUCAAACCAUGGAAGCCGGCAACGCCCGAAGCCGGUGGCAUAACCUUUUAGGAGUGAGCCGUCGAAGGCGGGGCCGAUGACUGGGGUUAAGUCGUAACAAGGUACCC